rnacentral:rRNA from 1 species
GAUCCCGGAGAGGAGACCCUUGAGAACGGGCUCCCCACAUCAAAGAAAGCCAGCGGGCGCGCCAAAUUACCCCAAUCCCGAAUACGGGGGAGGGUAGUGACAAUAAAUAACAAUCCAGGGCUCUUAUGGUUUUUUGUAAUUGGAAUGAGUACAAUUUAAAUCCCUUAACGAGGAACAAUUGGAGGGCAAGUCGGGUGCCAGCAGCCCGCGGUAAUUCCAGCUCCAUAUAGCGUAUAUUAAAGUUGUCGCAGUUAAAAAGCUUGUAGUUGCAUUUGGGCGUUCUACCGUUUGUCGGGCAAUAGUCUGUACUGGUCGUGGGGGAGCUCUUCUUUCUGGGGAACCAUCAUGCCUAUUAAUUUAGGGUGGUGGGAAACCAGGACUUUUCCCUUGAAAAAAUUAGAGUGUUCAAACCAGCCUUAUGUCGGAAACCAUUACCAUGGAAAAAAAAAAAAGGACGGUGGUCCCAUUUUGUUGGUUUCUGAAUCACCCGAAUGAUUAAUAGGGGAUAGUUGGGGGCAUUAGUAUUCAAUUGUCAGAGGGGAAAAUUUUGGAUUUAUUGAAAAAUAAAUUCUGCGAAAACCUUUCCCCAGGAAGUUUUCCUUAAUCCAGAAAAAAAAAUAGGGGGUAGAAGACGAUCAGAGACCCUGGUGGUGUUAACCCCAAAAAAUACCGCGUAGGGGGCGGGGGCGGGGAAUUUUUCAUGACUCGUUCGGCGCCUUACGGGAAAAUCAAAGUGAUGGGCUCCGGGGGGAGUAUGGUCGCAAGGCUGA